rnacentral:rRNA from 1 species
GACGAACGCUGGCGGCGUGCCUAAUACAUGCAAGUUGAGCGCUGAAGGUUGGUACUUGUACCAACUGGAUGAGCAGCGAACGGGUGAGUAACGCGUGGGGAAUCUGCCUUUGAGCGGGGGACAACAUUUGGAAACGAAUGCUAAUACCGCAUAAAAACUUUAAACACAAGUUUUAAGUUUGAAAGAUGCAAUUGCAUCACUCAAAGAUGAUCCCGCGUUGUAUUAGCUAGUUGGUGAGGUAAAGGCUCACCAAGGCGAUGAUACAUAGCCGACCUGAGAGGGUGAUAGGCCACAUUGGGACGGAGACACGGCCCAAACUCCUACGGGAGGCAGCAGUAGGGAAUCGUCGGCAAUGGACGAAAGUCUGACCGAGCAACGCCGCGUGAGUGAAGAAGGUUGUCGGAGCGUAAAAAUCUGUUGGUAGAGAAGAACGUUGGUGAGAGUGGAAAGCGCAUCAAGUGACGGUAACUACCCAGAAAGGGACGGCUAACUACGUG